GUCGAGAGCAAAAAAACCGCCUGCCUCUCGAUGGAGUUCUCCAUGCCGGAAGCACAUUUUUAAGAGUCCUACACUUCCAUAUUUGGAGACCGAGGCACAGAUACCGGUACAAUUAGGAGAGAAGUUUGGUGGGCUCAUCAUUGUUGUUGAUUGGACCAUAAGACCGCCGAAUGCUGAUCUACUAAGUGGAGGCCAACUUAAUGCUAAACAUGAAGCAUCUGAAUAGCCUAAAGCAGAGGUUACGUCACAAGUGAUUGACACAUCUCAACAAGGUAUGCACAACUCAUCAUAAGUGAGAUUAAUUAUAUUUAUCAGCAUCAAGGCAUUCACAGGCAUUAAUGAGUUAUCUAAAUAAGUUUUUCUAUCAUUGCAGGUGCUUGAUACAU